GACGAACGCUGGCGGCGUGCUUAACACAUGCAAGUCGAACGGAAAGGCCCUGCUUUUGUGGGGUGCUCGAGUGGCGAACGGGUGAGUAACACGUGAGUAACCUGCCCUUGACUUUGGGAUAACUUCAGGAAACUGGGGCUAAUACCGGAUAGGAGCUCCUGCUGCAUGGUGGGGGUUGGAAAGUUUCGGCGGUUGGGGAUGGACUCGCGGCUUAUCAGCUUGUUGGUGGGGUAGUGGCUUACCAAGGCUUUGACGGGUAGCCGGCCUGAGAGGGUGACCGGCCACAUUGGGACUGAGAUACGGCCCAGACUCCUACGGGAGGCAGCAGGGGGGAAUAUUGCACAAUGGGCGGAAGCCUGAUGCAGCAACGCCGCGUGCGGGAUGACGGCCUUCGGGUUGUAAACCGCUUUCGCCUGUGACGAAGCGUGAGUGACGGUACUGGGUAAAGAAGCACCGGCUAACUACGUG
rnacentral:rRNA from 1 species